rnacentral:rRNA from 1 species
UACGAGAGGCGCAAACGUUAUUCGGAAUUACUGGGCUUAAAGAGUUCGUAGGCGGCGCAGAAAGUAGGGUGUGAAAGCCCUCGGCUUAACCGAGGAAUUGCGCUCUAAACUACUGUGCUUGAGGGACCUAGAGGUGAGCGGAACUGAUGGUGGAGCGGUGAAAUGCGUUGAUAUCAUCAGGAACACCGGAGGCGAAGGCGGCUCACUGGGGGUCUUCUGACGCUGAGGAACGAAAGCCAGGGGAGCGAACAGG